rnacentral:rRNA from 1 species
AACGAACGCUGGCGGCAGGCCUAACACAUGCAAGUCGAACGAAGUCUUCGGACUUAGUGGCGGACGGGUGAGUAACGCGUGGGAACGUGCCCUUUGCUUCGGAAUAGCCCCGGGAAACUGGGAGUAAUACCGGAUAAGCCCUACGGGGGAAAGAUUUAUCGGCGAAGGAUCGGCCCGCGUUGGAUUAGGUAGUUGGUGGGGUAAUGGCCUACCAAGCCGACGAUCCAUAGCUGGUUUGAGAGGAUGAUCAGCCACACUGGGACUGAGACACGGCCCAGACUCCUACGGGAGGCAGCAGUGGGGAAUCUUAGACAAUGGGGAAACCCUGAUCUAGCCAUGCCGCGUGAUCGAUGAAGGCCUUAGGGUUGUAAAGAUCUUUCAGUGGGGAAGAUAAUGACUGUACCCACAGAAGAAGCCCCGGCUAACUCCGUG